rnacentral:lncRNA from 1 species
GUGAGGGUGGAGAGGGGAAUGCAGUCAAGAUUCCUUCAUGACUCAUAUUUCUCUAUUGAAAACUAAGGUUUCUGGUCACAUUAGGGUAGAGAAAUUGAUAGCAGCUGCAGAUGGGAAAGUUUGAACACGUAUCUCCCUAGGCAGUAUUUUCCCUGGUGUUUUCUGUGCCUGCGCUAUGUUGUAAAGUAUUGUAGAUUGCAGUUUUAUGGUUAGCUGAAGCUUCUUCAGUUAGGUAGAAGAACCAAAACCAUUUAAUCCUUUUUCUUCAGAACACUCACCAUGUUUUAUGCUCUUUCUUCAUUUGUUGCAGUGCUGGUGUGACAUCUGCCUGUCCUCACUCAGCAUCAGUGAUGUUGAGUGAAGAACAGAUAAGAUAAUUGGGAGGUAUGUGUCGGCGGUAGAAGUUGUCAAUGUGGACUUCACUGCAGCCCUAAACUGGUGCCACCUGCCCUGCUGCUGUCUAUGAACCUCUAUUGGUCAUUGGUGUUCCCAGAAAAAGAUCCCUGAAUCUCCAGGUUAGAAGCACAAGGCUGCCUGUGAACCAUAAUAAACUCAGUGAGAAAGAGGAACAGAUAUCUUCUCCUUUUCCCUCCAAACUUUCCCUUUAUCUACACUUUCUAAAGUGCAUGGCGUGGAAAGGACAGAAAACCCGUGGAGUUUUGGCCAAGCAAAAGGAAGUUUCUCAGCUGCUGUGCAGCCAGGAUCAGCCGAAUAAUUCUGGAGUGUGAAACGUAGUCUACUGAGAGAAUGGCAAAGGCAUGGAGCAGUUCACUGAUGCCACGGUAGAUCCAUAAGGAGAACAGAGAUGUCAGAGAGGGAGACUUUGGGGUUGAGUGCUGAGCAGCGUCCCCUCUGUGCCUCUCCCUGCCUGGAUAUACAGACGGAAAUCACCGCAGGCAUUUGACUGCUUCAUGUAGCCCCGGAAAGGAUACUGUGGGUCAUCUCAGAGCCAAAACUAGAAACAAGCACCUUUGAAAAAUAGCCCAGUGAAUGUGAAAGAAGCAUUUCUGCAGAGGGAGCUGCCAGCAAGACUUGUUCCUUUGCCAGAAGGGGUGCUGGGCGAAAGCCUCUAUCCCUCAUUAAAUCAAUAAAAUCAAG